rnacentral:rRNA from 1 species
UACGAAGGGCCCAAGCGUUAUCCGGAUUUAUUGGGUUUAAAGGGUGCGUAGGCGGGUUAUUAAGUCAGUGGUGAAAGCCUACAGCUUAACUGUAGAACUGCCAUUGAUACUGAUGAUCUUGAGUAUGAUUGAGGUUGGCGGAAUGUGUCAUGUAGCGGUGAAAUGCUUAGAUAUGACACAGAACACCGAUUGCGAAGGCAGCUAACUAAGUCAUAACUGACGCUGAUGCACGAAAGCGUGGGGAGCAAACAGG